GGGGAAUAUUGGACAAUGGGCGAAAGCCUGAUCCAGCAAUGCCGCGUGAGUGAUGAAGGCCUUAGGGUUGUAAAGCUCUUUUACCCGGGAUGAUAAUGACAGUACCGGGAGAAUAAGCCCCGGCUAACUCCGUGCCAGCAGCCGCGGUAAUACGGAGGGGGCUAGCGUUGUUCGGAAUUACUGGGCGUAAAGCGCGCGUAGGCGGCUAUUCAAGUCAGAGGUGAAAGCCCGGAGCUCAACUCCGGAAUUGCCUUUGAAACUAGAUAGCUAGAAUCAUGGAGAGGCGAGUGGAAUUCCGAGUGUAGAGGUGAAAUUCGUAGAUAUUCGGAAGAACACCAGUGGCGAAGGCGACUCGCUGGACAUGUAUUGACGCUGAGGGGCGAAAGCGUGGGGAGCAAAC
rnacentral:rRNA from 1 species